AAGAAAGUGCCCAGGAGUGCAGUUUCUGGUGGCUCCAAAUCAGCUCCUUCCUUCCUGAAGCAGAUGCUGAUGGAAUUCACCUUGAUCCAUCUUCCCCCAGGUUGGUGUGGACCUUCUGGAAAUGCAGGAGUGCCAAAAAUCUGACAUCUGGAGCUGCAAUUUCCAUUUCAGCUCGACAGACACAAUUAGGAUCUACCAACCUGUUUACUGAAAGAGACUGCUUGUGCUUCCUUAUGGGAACACAGGCUCUGAGUUUCACCUAAUGAAAUGGGCACAGAGCCUUUGCCAAACAAAGCCCUCCUGAGCUAUGCCAGGUGGGAUGUCCUGAAAGUCCUGCUCUGCAGACUUUUGCAAACUGGAUCCCAAAUCCACAGCCACCCAGGAGCCUGUGCCCCACUCAGGAUGGCUGUGGUGUGUGCCCACCUGUUUGCUCCAGGUGGAAGAGGAUGACAAAUUAACACUUUGAAGUACUCAGGAUGAAUGUGUACCAGGAGUAGAAGAAAACUGCACUCAGAUAAAAUCAAGUAAUAGCAGUACAGAGAGAGCAGAAAACAUUUCUGUCAUGUUGUGACCUGUCGGGAGAAAUGCAUGAUGAGUCCUGCCCAGCACUGGCUGAUGUGAGAGGAGCAGUGUGAGUCACGGAGGGCACAGUGCCUGAGAUGCCCCAGGCAGAUGAACUGCAGCAACUUCUGAAGGGAGCCCUGCUCUCCCCUCCAGGACACUGCUGGAAACCAUCAUCUCCAGCAUGAGAUGGCUCUGGAAACCCUGUUCCAUAAGGAGGUCUUCAGCUUUUCCGUAGGUCUAGUGUCCUGAAUCAAGCUGAAAAGAAGAAACUUCCAUUAAAAAACAAAAUAAAAACAAAAGCAAAAACCAAACCAAACAAAACAACAAAAAAACCCAAGGAAUUUGUGUGUACUUUCCUCACUUUGAAGCAUUAUGUUUUUAUUUACAUUACUUUUUUUAUUUUAAUGAUUUGCAAAGUGUUUCAUAUUUCAAAAUUUGCUUUGAACACCCCAUGCAAAACAAUUCCUGUAGGAAAUGUCAAGCUGAAAU